GCUCAGGAUGAACGCUGGCGGCGUGCUUAACACAUGCAAGUCGAACGAUGAUCCCAGCUUGCUGGGGGAUUAGUGGCGAACGGGUGAGUAACACGUGAGUAACCUGCCCUUAACUCUGGGAUAAGCCUGGGAAACUGGGUCUAAUACCGGAUAUGACUCCUCAUCGCAUGGUGGGGGGUGGAAAGCUUUUUUGUGGUUUUGGAUGGACUCGCGGCCUAUCAGCUUGUUGGUGAGGUAAUGGCUCACCAAGGCGACGACGGGUAGCCGGCCUGAGAGGGUGACCGGCCACACUGGGACUGAGACACGGCCCAGACUCCUACGGGAGGCAGCAGUGGGGAAUAUUGCACAAUGGGCGCAAGCCUGAUGCAGCGACGCCGCGUGAGGGAUGACGGCCUUCGGGUUGUAAACCUCUUUCAGUAGGGAAGAAGCGAAAGUGACGGUACCUGCAGAAGAAGCGCCGGCUAACUACGUGCCAGCAGCCGCGGUAAUACGUAGGGCGCAAGCGUUAUCCGGAAUUAUUGGGCGUAAAGAGCUCGUAGGCGGUUUGUCGCGUCUGCCGUGAAAGUCCGGGGCUCAACUCCGGAUCUGCGGUGGGUACGGGCAGACUAGAGUGAUGUAGGGGAGACUGGAAUUCCUGGUGUAGCGGUGAAAUGCGCAGAUAUCAGGAGGAACACCGAUGGCGAAGGCAGGUCUCUGGGCAUUAACUGACGCUGAGAGCGA
rnacentral:rRNA from 1 species